GAAAUGGUCAAUUGACCUCCUAAGGAGUUAUUGUCCUUAAUAGUCAAUUUUUAACAAUUUUCAUAAAAUUUGUAAAUUUUUAUUAACAUUUUCCACUGAAACUACUGGGUUCAUUAUAGAUAGAGAUAAUUGUAAGCAGCAAGACUGUUUAGUAAAGUAAGAUGAACAAACACAUCACCAUCACCAAAACACAAUUUUGUCAUGAAUCCAUCUGCUUCCUUUGUUUAAUAUUCACAUAGACCAAGGUGAGCGACACAGGCUCUUUAGAGCCUCUAGUUUACAUGGCUGUCACCAAAGUAUAUAGCUCACAAAUAGUUUAUUUACUGUAGGUUGAAGAUUAAAAGUAGCACAUUUUUUGUUGCAAAUAGCCUUUUCAAUGAAAUUAUUAUUUAAAUAUAUACAACAUGUACAAUGUGUUGAAUUGGAGAGACUUAUUUACUUGUUGAAUAUUUCGGUCCAUCCCUGUACCCAAUCUUUUUUACUUAUGAAAAUAAGUGUCUGGAUGCCACCGCUGCCAGAAGGUGUUUAUGAAAUAGAGACUAAUUGGGGACAAAAGAAUAGAUGAAAAAACAAUUGAAUGAUUAAUAAAGAGUAGAUAGUAAUGGGCAUAUUAUUAUUUUAAUUUUAGUUUCUUGUGUACAAUUUGGAAAUUAGUAUGGCGUUCAUUAUCACUGAACUAGUAUA
rnacentral:lncRNA from 1 species